AAUUGGAGGAGCAGAUUCCUUUCCGACCUCAGAGAGAAGUCCUGCUCCUUGUCCGUCCUUCCUAACAAGGUUUUCCUAGAUCCUCCCCAAAGCCAAGAUGGGAAAGAGGUGUGGCCUAGCACAUGUACUGAUUUCCAUGAUAACAUAAAGCAUCUCGUUGGGUCCACCUGGGAGUCACGUGAUGGCUCCAGUUGUGAGUGCCGCAGAGAUGGAUUGCAUUGUUGCAGGACUCCAGAGGUACCAUAGCACUGCCUGCCAACGUUUAGGGACACCAGGGACCAGAGAGAAAUUUUCUGUGAACCAGAGGAAAGUUGUUUUCAUUUGAUCUUCUUCUCUCUCAUGCUGGCUACGUGUCAACAAGAAUGCAUUGGGAAUCUUUUUCUCCCUAAGAUUAAGAUGCAAGGUGGAUCUGAAGCUGAUGAAAUGUUUUCCCUUCAUCCCAUCUGCAAAACAAACACAAAUUAGUCAUAGAGCAACUGGCAAUGGCUACUCUGACAAAACUUACUCAGCGAUUUUUUAAAUUGCACAAGGGGCGGUCUUGGUUCUUGUAUAAAUUGGAGGAGCAGAUUCCUUUCUGACCUCAGAGACAAGUGCUGCUCCUUGUCCUUCCUCCCUACCAAGAGAUUUCCUGGGUCUUCCCCAAAGCCAAGAUGAAAGUCUUCUUCAGUCUGAUCCUCUUCUCUCUCGUGCUGGCUGCAUGUCAUGCAUGCUAUCUGGUUUCCUUUGAAUAUAUGGCUAAAAAAGCUGAAAACAUGCCGCCAAACACAUGUGUUGAUGCCUUCGAUGGGACAUUUCAUCUCCUUGGGUCCACUUGGAUCGCAGAGGAUUGUUUUCAGUGCCACUGCAAGAAUAAUGGAAUGUUCUGCUGCCACAGAAAUUUUAGAGAAAUUCCAUUUUGCAAAGUAGUGGUAAAUCGCGAGACAUGUCAACCUGAAUACUAUAGACUCGAUGACCCAUCGCAGCGCUGUGAUGUCUGAUCUCUUCACUCGGACAAACUGGAAUAAAUCUCUCAUGUGUAAAUGAACCCGUAUUAAUCUCUCACAUCAGCAUCUAAAAUGUUUUCUCUUCCCUUUUCUUUUGAUUAAAGAACAGUUAUGUAAAACAUGAA